UACGGGGGGAGCAAGCGUUGUUCGGAUUUACUGGGCGUAAAGGGCGCGUAGGCGGCCACCGCAAGUCGACUGUGAAAUCUCCGGGCUUAACCCGGAAAGGUCAGCCGAUACUGCGGGGCUAGAGUGCAGAAGGGGCAACUGGAAUUCUCGGUGUAGCGGUGAAAUGCGUAGAUAUCGAGAGGAACACCUGCGGCGAAGGCGGGUUGCUGGGCUGACACUGACGCUGAUGUGCGAAAGCUAGGGGAGCGAGCGGG
rnacentral:rRNA from 1 species